rnacentral:rRNA from 1 species
AGGUUGAACGCUGGCGGCAUGCCUUACACAUGCAAGUCGAACGGCAGCACGGGGGCAACCCUGGUGGCGAGUGGCGAACGGGUGAGUAAUACAUCGGAACGUGUCCUGUAGUGGGGGAUAGCCCGGCGAAAGCCGGAUUAAUACCGCAUACGAUCUACGGAAGAAAGCGGGGGAUCGCAAGACCUCGCGCUAUAGGGGCGGCCGAUGGCAGAUUAGCUAGUUGGUGGGGUAAAGGCCUACCAAGGCGACGAUCUGUAGCUGGUCUGAGAGGACGACCAGCCACACUGGGACUGAGACACGGCCCAGACUCCUACGGGAGGCAGCAGUGGGGAAUUUUGGACAAUGGGGGAAACCCUGAUCCAGCAAUGCCGCGUGUGUGAAGAAGGCCUCGGUUGUAAGCACUUUGUCCGGAAGAAACCUUUGCACUAAUACUGUGAGGGAGUGACGGUACCGGAAGAAUAAGCACCGGCUAACUACGUGCCAGCAGCCGC